UCCUAUUCAUGCUGAAUGAAAUAUUCUCUAAGAAGAAUACAGGUCAAGGUUAACUUUGAGGCAACUGAGCAGCUCCAUCAAACUUAGACUGUGAAAGGAUUACUGCCUGCUGAUGAUGCUGAUUGAAAGUACAGACUAUGCGCUGAUCCUGAAAUCCUGGAGUUGUUUGUGGUCAAGGCCAUUGGAUACAAUGAACAUUCAAGUUUGGACUCUUAAGUAUAUCUUCUUUUUAUUAGUCGCAAACUAUAAACUUGAAAUAUUAUGUUAAAA